rnacentral:lncRNA from 1 species
AGAAAAUCAUGAUAGGAAAUGCAAGCACGGACAUAUUGUAUCAAUUGGCAGAUAUAUACCCCGUAUGCAGGUGCUGCUGGAAUGUUGCUACUUGGAAAUGAAAAGUUCACAAGUGAACCUCAAUUAUUGCAGCUUGCAAGGUUUCCAGUUGUUCAAAAGUUAUCAAAGGUACCAGUAUUAUAAUGUAAUACGCCAGACGCGC